ACACACAUUUAAGUGUUUAUUUUAAUACACGUUGGUCAAUAGCUGUACUAUUAUGUCUAAAUAAAUAAAAAAAUAAAACACUAAAAACCAAAAUCACAUAUUUUAAAAUCUACACAUGAAUUCAGGCAUUAUAAUAAUAAAAAUGCAUAUUCGAAAAGAUUACAUUUAACAGUGUUAUUAAUUUAUUAGUGUUUUUAUAAAAUAAUAUAAAUGUAAAAAUGUGAGAGAUGUCCAGUAUACGCUAAUAUAUUUAAUAUUGACUUUUAGCAAUACAUUAUGAAACAAAGCAACUUUUAAAACCAGUGUUAUUUGUUAAUAUUGUUAAUUGUUUUUGUUAAUAUUUUGAAUUAGAUUAUAUUUUCGUUUUUCAUCUUAAAUUAUAUAAACUAAAUAAAUAACAUUUAUAUAUUUUUUAAUUAUAUAUUAUAUGUAUAUAUUACAUUUUAUAUUAAUUUCUAGUAUUAAGAUUUAGUCUAGUUUAUUUAGUUAUAGUGAUUUUAGUACUAAAACUAAAUUAAAAUUAGAAAUGUUGCUUUGGCAACUAGCUAAAAAGAAACAAAUUGAAGUGUAUUUUUAUUUCAGUCAAUGUUCAUCCUAGUAAUGUCGAGACUUGAGAGAAAAUUAAUAAAUCGUUAUCCAUAAAUGUCUACCUGACAAAAUCGACCACUAGAUGUCGCUCUAUUCCGUCAUUCUAAUUACAGAAAUCAAAUAAAAUAUGAGCAAUAAUAGUGAUUUAGAAUACCGUAAAACAAAUCUGAGAUAAAACGCUUAGGCGGCCGUUGUAAGUUGUUGCCUGGCAACUGCAACGAUGUUUUUUAAACGAAUCCGAAGCGAACUGUCAUUUUCCCGGGAACCUCCGCAGCACGUGACUCACCCGGCGCCUCGCGCGCAGCCCCGCUCUCCGAAUAUUAAAAUGGCGGCGCCGCAUGGCGUAAAACUGAAGGAUUUAAAGUGUGAUUUGACGGACUGUACCGCAGCACAAGCGCAGCAGGACUCUCAGGUUGAAUUUGUGAAACGCGAUGUUCCCGUCUUCGAGCUGGAUGUGGGAAGGAUCUCCGAUGCUCUUCACGAAAGCCUGGAUCCGUCCAUUUUAUCCAUGUUUCAGGAGAAGACGCUGACGGAGAGCGUGGAGAGCGAGGCGUCGCUGCUGUCCGCUCUGACCGAGAUGUUGGACAGCGUGGACGUCGAGACACUGUCUCCAUUCGACACGCUGCCGGACACGGAGCUCUUCUCGGCUCCGAAGGGUUCGGAUCACAUGCUCAGGAAUCUGCUUCAUUUGAGUUCGUCAUCACCGGAUCGGCCCUCAAUCUCUCCAUCAGCAGCCGUAAAGAAGUCAGGAAGAGAGGUUGUGAUGUCAGACAGACAGUUGAGACCCCGUCGCAUUUUAGUGACCCAGAGUGAGAUUUCAAUCCGAUCUGUGAGAACCUUCCGGAUCGAAUCCGACCCGAUAUUCCCACAGGACUGCCGGGAAGCACUUGCAGAUUUAGUGAGACACAUGCAUCCGUACUGCAUCAGGACAGAGAAAGAGACACGUGUGUCUGUGGAGGAGGAGGAAGAGGAGGAGUUUGUUGAUGUAGAAGGUUACGAGGAACAGGACGAGAACAUUCGGGACCAAUCAGAAAAAGACUUGAAUCCAAAAGCGGAAACAAAUGCACAGGAAGAAAAUGCCACAACUUCAGACCAAAACGUUAAGGCGACGGCUAAACGCAGCGCUUUAGUCAAAACCGGCGAUGCAGGACGGGUGAAGAAAACCGUGACUUUUGCGUUAAACUUAAUCUCCGUUCACGAGAUUCCACCCGACGAAGAGGAGACUCUCUCUAAAACAGACAUCACUUCCUCUCAGAAGCCCAAAGCGCUCAGUCUAGACCAGUACCGUCUCCUCAGACAGAAGAAGCCACCUCCGGAGGAGAAACCGAUGGACUCUCGAACCAAAUGGCCUUCGCUUCCCGAGCCUCCCAAGGAGCUUCCGCCAAUCCUGCCCAAGCUGACUCCGAACGCACCUUCUGUUAAACCGGAAACACCUCGAUCGCAGCCGCAGGGAGUCACACGUCCCUCUCGGAAGGACGUCAGGAAGGCUGUAGGUCUUUGCAUUGACCCUCCGAACCCGGUUUUAGUGCCCUUGAGACCCACACGACACACACACUCGGCCUCAGAACCAGAUGCGUGUGUUUCUUGUGAAGAGGGUCAAGUCUCUGAGGUCAAACCCGAAACUUCAGAAAGGAGACCGAAGCAGACGACGUGUGGAGAAAUCGGACUAACUCCACCCGCCACACCUCCACAUCAGAUCUGGAGGCCCCUGGCGUCGCUCAAAGGGACGAGACAUGAAUCCAUCAAGCCGUCACCCAGCAAAACCAUUCAGAUAAUCGAACCUCGCCCACUGCCACGCAGUAAAACCCACUCAAAACCCUCGCUUCCCACCUUCACUCCUGCGCUGAAUCCCGCUCAAGCGUUCCUGGACCACGACUACUGCGGGAUUCAGACGUCUUUUACGCACACAAACGCUCUGUCCGGUUCGGUGCUGCUGUCUCCUGACAGCUCCCCCUGCAGGAUGGAGGCGUUCGAGGAGGCGGAGUCUCUAAGGGGGCGGGGCUUGCACUUCUCCUCCCACUCUCCAAGGCCAUUGGACCGCGGAAGGCUGAAGAGGCGGGGCUAUGAAGGCAGAUACCGGCGCUCCAGCUCGAGGUCUUGCUCCUCAUGUUCUUCGUCGUCUUCAUCAUCUUCAUCAUCAUCAUCUCGUUCCAGGUCUCCUUCACCACCCAGAAAACGGUACAGGUCCAGGAGGCAUUCUGGAAGCAGCUCCUCCUCGCGCUCCAGCUCACGCUCGUCUUCUCGCUCUCCUCCUCGCAAGCGUGGAUCCAGAUCACGAUCCGGAUCGUCACAUCGCUCUCGUUCGGGUUCGCGCUCGCCUGAGCCGGACUGGAGAUGGACGAGUCGCAGACAGAAGGAGCUCAACCGCAGAUACGAAGAGGCUCGUAGACUCCGGCAGCAGAAAGCCAUCGUAGGUGGACCAACGAUUGUUUGGCUUCAUGUUGGACGCUGUGUGUGUGUGUGUGUGUGUGUGUGUGUGUGUGUGUGUGUACCUGGUUGAUCCCCAGGAGGAGCGGAGGGUGGUGUAUGUGGGGGGGAUCCGUGGAAGCACGUCUCCGUCGGACCUCAGAGAUCGAUUCUCUCUGUUCGGGAAGGUGGAGGACUGCACCGUGCAUCUCAGGAGCCACGGGUGAGAUUUACACACACACAUCAGCAAAUCAAUAAAAUAAAAUUAUUAUAAUAAUAUAACA
ensembl:lncRNA